rnacentral:lncRNA from 1 species
CUUGAACUCCAUUUUACAGCAUAGGCAAACAAUCAGUGACUGGACGUCCGUUUUUAAUGACGCAUCAUAGGAUCUUCUUGGCGUCUCCUUAUCUUAGCCCAACAGUAUUUGUUCUGAGAGAAUACUUCAAGGCCGCUUGUGUUUUACUAUUGAUGUUUGUAUACAGGGAGAAGUGUUAAACAGUCUUACCUUACUGCUAUUUAUAAGUAGUAAUUAAAAGCACCAACUACACCAAGGAGACAUGCAAUCUUUUAACUUUGUGUGAAAUGAAGGACAUAUGUGGAUAUUUUAUGACUAAGUAGUGCUGCAAUAAAAUUCAUUUAGUAGUACCAUAAAAUAAUUUUCUCAAAUUGUGCUAACGUCUCAUAAUGUAAGCUCAGCAAUUAAAUAUGUAUAUGUAUUUUUUUUUCUUUCUCAUUCAGUGUCCUUUGCAAGCCUGGUGAUUUUCUGCACUUCAAAGACAUUAACACUCAGGGCAUUGACUAUUGCCUCAGAAAACUUUUAACAAUUUGUUCUGCUGUGGACUUGUUAAGCAGAGUAUCUGAUCAAGGUGGAAUGCUCUGAAAGACUAGAGAUGUGCGGACAAUGAGCUGCCCUGCUGCCUUAUUCUGUCUUCAUUUGCAGUAUUUCCAGAAAUCUUCAAGAUGGAAGAUUUUUUUUUUGUUGUUUUUCUUUUAACACGGGAAACAGGAAGUGCCCAAAGUGGAAUUAUGGGAUUGCUUGGACAAGAAUACAAAGACUGCUCUGAAACCUGGAGAACUGGAAAACUAGGAGGAGGAAACUAUGCAUUACAUUCAUUUGAGCCAUUGUAAAUAUUGCUGUAAUAAAAAAACAAAGAAAUAUAAAAGAUUUCUUUAUAAGAAAUGAAUUUGUGGAAUAUCAGUAAACUGUAAACACAGUACAAUUGUAUUUGUACAUAAGCUUGGGUUUUCUUCACAAAAAUGACGCAAAACAAUGGAAAAAAGGUCAACUAUGCAACUAUAUGAAGACGUUUGAAGCACGUGCAAGGAUAUAAUCAGGGAUAUUUAGAUAGCUUAUAAUUAUACAAGUUCUUCCCCACCAUACAAAUUAAGAACUAUCAAUAUACCUUAGACUUUCACUCUGCACGUACAAUUAACCAUGGGUUUGCUGGCUUCCAUACAGGAAAUGAAACGAAGUCCAAAGAAAGCAGUAUAGUCCAAAAAUAAAAAUAAUUGUUUUUUUAUUUCAAUCCAUUCAAAAAUAGAAAAAAAGGACUCUGAGGAAGUGCCCAAGAGGCACAAAACACAUAAGCGUUUGAUAUUUGGUGAGCCCCAACACCGCAUCCCCAAUUUGCACCUUGUAUAAGUUUUCUAUUGUUGAAUGGAUAAAAAAAUUAAUUUAGAAUCCGUUUCAUGUCUUGUAUUGGAGCCUGCAAUUGCAUGGUUAAAUUUACUUUAUAAUUAUAUCAGGGAUUUUGUUUAGAGCAGAUGUUAGCAGUUUUCUAAAAAACAUAAGUAAUAUAAUAGAUUAUGGCAUCACAUGACUUUUCAUGACCAGUGAUGCCAUGAGUACAGGGCAUUUUCUUAAAUCUCAUCCUAAUGGGUGCCUGAAUACAGGUUAAAAAAUAUCUUGUCCUAAAAUACAAUAUAGUCUUCCUUGAUAACCUUGUGACAAAUCCACUAAGGUUUAUUUAUACUGGUAUAGAAAACAUUUUGACACUUUUUACUUGUAAAAUCAGUUUAAACACAUCUAGAUCCACCCCUCACUUCAAAAUGGAACCAUAUGUUAUAGAUUAUGAAUAUUUAAUGAAAGUAGGAUUGAAGUGAUCAUGGGAAAUGAGAUUAUAACAGGUAACAUCUAGUUAAAUUUUAUAUAGAUAAAGUAGGAAUUCAUGUUCACUUUACCCUAAUAACACACAAUGAUAUAAUGGUGCAAUAUUGAUUUCAAAUGGUAUUUUGGCAAAUGUACUUUCCAUCUUGAUUCUCAGUUUUCUUUGAAAUUGUAUCACUACCUGAUGGAAUAGUCUACAUGAUAUAUUCACAAAACCUAGGUUUAGGUAAACAUUUGGAGUUUAGUGAAUAAGCCUGUAAGUGGCUGUUUACAGUAAACUGAAAACUAACAUACAAAAUAUAACCUAAAUAACACAAAUAUCUACAAUUUAGGCAAGCUGAGAAAUAUCGUAUUUUACCCAUUCAUUGUCAAUAUAGUUUUGCUAACUCUUUAUAUAUCUGACACAUUUAGGGACCAAUAGUAAUUUUGAAAAAGUAGGGUUAUUGUUUUUUUUACACUAUGGGCUGGAUAUUGUUAGAAGAGAGAAAUAUAGUUCUGGUUAGUGAAUAGCAUUUCUCUCAUUGGUAUCUAUGGGACAACUGUGAUACAGUUACCGAAGUCUGGUCCAUAAGGUAGAAAGAAAAAAACCCCCACAGAAAUAAAGACAAGACAUGCCAAUAUCAUUUAAACAGUGUUAUUUAAACUUUUAAAGUGCAUUAAGUUAUGCCUAUGUAAACUAUAAGCCUAUAAUAUAUUGUGUUCCAUUUUGCAGUUUCUCCUGUACAACAGUAUUAAGAUAAUUUUGUAUUUUUAUUUUUCCAUACAUAUAUUGUUAAAAUAAUGUUUGUUUUUUUCUAAGUUGAUCAUCCAAACAAAACAUUGAGACCAACAAUUACUUCCAAAGAAAAAAUUAUGGUCACAUUUUGUUCAAUGCUUGUAUAUGUUGCAAUUAUACAAUUUGCGAUAAUGUCUGUCACAAUAACUGCCAGAAAUACAAAACUACUUAGGAAAGGAAGAUUUCCCUCAAAAUGAUUUGUUCUAAUGUAUUAUUUUUGUACAAAAUUUUAA